UACGUAGGGUCCGAGCGUUGUCCGGAUUUAUUGGGCGUAAAGAGCUCGUAGGCGGUUCCGUAAGUCAGAUGUGAAAACUCAGGGCUCAACCCGGAGACGCCAUCUGAUACUGCGGUGACUGGAGUCUGGUAGGGGAACACGGAAUUCCUGGUGUAGCGGUGAAAUGCGCAGAUAUCUGGAGGAACACCGGUGGCGAAGGCGGCGUUCUGGACUGCAACUGACACUGAGGAACGAAAGCCAGGGGAGCAAACGGG
rnacentral:rRNA from 1 species